GAUGAAGAACGCAGCGAAAUGCGAUACGUAAUGUGAAUUGCAAAUUCAGUGAAUCAUCGAGUCUUUGAACGCACAUUGCGCCCCCUGGUAUUCCGGGGGGCAUGCCUGUCCGAGCGUCAUUUCUGCCCUCAAGCACGGCUUGUGUGUUGGGCCCCGUCCUCCGAUUCCGGGGGACGGGCCCGAAAGGCAGCGGCGGCACCGAGUCCGGUCCUCGAGCGUAUGGGGCUUUGUCACCCGCUCUGUAGGCCCGGCCGGCGCUUGCCGAUCAACCCAAAUUUUUAUCCAGGUUGACCUCGGAUCAGGUAGGGAUACCCGCUGAACUUAAGCAUAUCAAUAAGCGGAGGA
rnacentral:misc_RNA from 1 species